ensembl:misc_RNA Y_RNA Y RNA
GGCUGGCCUGACGGUAUUGAGUUAUCUCAAUUGAUUGUUCACAGUCAGUCACAGAUCAAACUCCUUGCUCUACUCUUUCUCCCCUUCUCACUAUUGCACUUGACUAGUCUAAA